GCAGGGUGGAAUAGCCUGCUGCACAGCAGGGGUUGGAGUGAGAAAUAAUUUAAGCCGAAGGAGAGAGUUCCUUGCAACCAGGAAAAACUCAGGAUCCAGUCUGCAGUAGAGGGCCUAGAAUGGAGCUAACCAGGAAAUUGCAGAAGCUGCUGAGGAACAGGCCUUGAAGAGUAGUCCUGGCACUGGUAAGGAGGACUUGUGACAAAACAUGAGGGUUUUUUGUUUGGAGAUUGAACUCAGAACCAGGUUCAUACUAAGAUACACAAGGGCCCAGUGGGAAAAUGGGUCGAGUGAGCGGCACCAGAGUCCCUCGCUCCAGCCUGCCGCCUCUUGGGACAGCGACGAUGCUCUCCUCAGCACGCACGGCAGAGAACACACAAAGAAAGCCGGGACCUGUUCUCGGCAGUUUCGAGGAGGAGGCUGGUGAGGACCCCGAGGCGGAGUGCCCCAGCCCCGCAGGAAC
rnacentral:lncRNA from 1 species